rnacentral:rRNA from 1 species
UACGUAGGGGCAAGCGUUGUCCGGAAUCACUGGGCGUAAAGCGCAUGUAGGCGGGGUAUUAAGUCAGGUGUGAAAACUAUGGGCUCAACCUGUAGAUUGCAUCUGAAACUGGUAUUCUUGAGUAUUGGAGAGGAAAGUGGAAUUCCUAGUGUAGCGGUGAAAUGCGUAGAUAUUAGGAGGAACACCGAUGGCGAAGGCAGGUCUCUGGGCUAUAACUGACGCUGAGGAGCGAAAGCAUGGGGAGCGAACAGGAUUAGAUA